rnacentral:lncRNA from 1 species
ACCGCCUACUCCAGUCCUCUCCACCCCAAGCUCUAUGCAACUCAUUUUCAUCUAGCAUUACCUCUCCAAAACCUGAAUCUCCACAAGAAAGCCACACAGCAAUUAACCAGUGUUGCAAGAACUGCUUCUGUAAUAAAGGUGGGAAGACAAAUUGAUGCAACCCUCUUGAAAAGCAAUCUGGCAAUAUGAACCAAGAGCCAUGAAAAGGCUUAUGCUAUUAUAAUUAAAUGGCUGUAAUGUUGGCUGUAAAUAUGAAAUUUUCUUUCACACACCAAUGUUUUCAAGAAUGGCAUAUUCACAUGCAGUAUGUGAUGAAAGAAGCAGUAAAGGAUGCUAACAAAGCUAUUUCUUUGGACAAUCUGAACCUGAUGAGAAAAUUGAAGCCAACAGAAGUUAACUAACUUGCCUAAAAUAACACAGCUGUGGCAAAUUAGGACCAGAACCAAGGUCUCCUGACCUAAGUGCUACUCCCACCAUACUACAUGAUCUGCUGUUUAAAAUUUUGGUGAGCUUUAUAACAUAAAUAAAACUACAGAUGUGAAGGA